UACGUGGGGUGCGAGCGUUGUUCGGAAUUAUUGGGCGUAAAGGGUCCGCAGGUGGCAGUGUAAGUCUGCUGUCAAAGAAUGAGGCUUAACCUCAUCAAGGCAGUGGAAACUACACAGCUAGAGUACGGUCGGGGUAGAAGGAAUUCCUGGUGUAGCGGUGAAAUGCGUAGAGAUCAGGAAGAACACCGGUGGCGAAAGCGUUCUGCUAGACCUGUACUGACACUGAGGGACGAAAGCUAGGGGAGCGAAUGGG
rnacentral:rRNA from 1 species